rnacentral:rRNA from 1 species
CGGAAAGGCCCUUCGGGGUACUCGAGCGGCGAACGGGUGAGUAACACGUGAGCAACCUGCCCCAGGCUCUGGGAUAACCCUCGGAAACGGGGGCUAAUACCGGAUAGGACCUUUCACCGCAUGGUGGGGGGUGGAAAGUUUUUUCGGCCUGGGAUGGGCUCGCGGCCUAUCAGCUUGUUGGUGGGGUGACGGCCUACCAAGGCGACGACGGGUAGCCGGCCUGAGAGGGCGACCGGCCACACUGGGACUGAGACACGGCCCAGACUCCUACGGGAGGCAGCAGUGGGGAAUAUUGCGCAAUGGGCGGAAGCCUGACGCAGCGACGCCGCGUGGGGGAUGACGGCCUUCGGGUUGUAAACCUCUUUCAGCAUCGACAAAGCCUUUUUGGGUGACGGUAGGUGCAGAAGAAGCGCCGGCUAACUACGUGCCAGCAGCCGCGGUAAGACGUAAGGCGCAAGCGUUGUCCGGAUUUAUUGGGCGUAAAGAGCUCGUAGGCGGCC